rnacentral:rRNA from 1 species
GACGAACGCUGGCGGCGUGCCUAACACAUGCAAGUCGAACGGAACUGUUUUGAAAGAUUUCUUCGGAAUGAAUUUGAUUUAGUUUAGUGGCGGACGGGUGAGUAACGCGUGAGUAACCUGCCUUCAAGAGGGGAAUAACAUUCUGAAAAGAAUGCUAAUACCGCAUGACAUAUCGGAACCACAUGGUUUUGAUAUCAAAGAUUUUAUCGCUUGAAGAUGGACUCGCGUCCGAUUAGUUAGUUGGUGAGAUAACGGCUCACCAAGACCGCGAUCGGUAGCCGGACUGAGAGGUUGAACGGCCACAUUGGGACUGAGACACGGCCCAGACUCCUACGGGAGGCAGCAGUGGGGGAUAUUGCGCAAUGGGGGCAACCCUGACGCAGCAACGCCGCGUGAAGGAGGAAGGUUUUCGGAUUGUAAACUUCUUUUAUUAAGGACGAUAAAUGGCGGUACUUAAUGAAUAAGCUCCGGCUAACUACGUG